AUUGAACGCUGGCGGCAGGCCUAACACAUGCAAGUCGAGCGGAUGAAGGGAGCUUGCUCCUGGAUUCAGCGGCGGACGGGUGAGUAAUGCCUAGGAAUCUGCCUGGUAGUGGGGGAUAACGUCCGGAAACGGGCGCUAAUACCGCAUACGUCCUGAGGGAGAAAGUGGGGGAUCUUCGGACCUCACGCUAUCAGAUGAGCCUAGGUCGGAUUAGCUAGUUGGUGGGGUAAAGGCCUACCAAGGCGACGAUCCGUAACUGGUCUGAGAGGAUGAUCAGUCACACUGGAACGGGGACACGGUCCAGACUCCUACGGGAGGCAGCAGUGGGGAAUAUUGGACAUUGGGCGAAAGCCUGAUCCAGCCAUGCCGCGUGUGUGAAGAAGUUCUUCGGAUUUUAAAGCACUUUAAGUUGGGAGGAAGGGCAGUAAGUUAAUACCUUGCUGUUUUGACGUUACCAACAGAAUAAGCACCGGCUAACUUCGUG
rnacentral:rRNA from 1 species